AUUGAACGCUGGCGGCAGGCCUAACACAUGCAAGUCGAACGAGUGGCGGACGGGUGAGUAAUGUCUGGGAAACUGCCUGAUGGAGGGGGAUAACUACUGGAAACGGUAGCUAAUACCGCAUACCAUCGGAUGUGCCCAGAUGGGAUUCGCUAGUAGGUGGGGUAAAGGCUCACCUAGGCGACGAUCCCUAGCUGGUCUGAGAGGAUGACCAGCAACACUGGAACUGAGAAACGGUCCAGACUCCUACGGGAGGCAGCAGUGGGGAAUAUUGCACAAUGGGCGCAAGCCUGAUGCAGCCAUGCCGCGUGUAUGAAGAAGGCGUUCGGGUUGUAAAGUACUUUCAGCGGGGAGGCGUUACCCGCAGAAGAAGCACCGGAUAACUCCGUGCCAGCAGCCGCGGUAAUUA
rnacentral:rRNA from 1 species